GCAGUCUUUAUCUCCAAAAUGAUAACUAUUUUUUAUGAGCCACAUGAUGAACUUCGUAAAGAUUCAAAACUCUGGGCAUUGCUAUUUGUUGCACUUGGUCUGGUAUCAUUCACCAUGCUUCCAUGUAGAUUCUACCUUUUUGGUGUUGCUGGGGGCAAGUUGAUAAAAAGGAUUCGGAAAAUGUGUUUUGAGAAAGUUGUUCACAUGGAAGUUAGCUGGUUCGAUGAAGCAGAGCAUUCAAGUGGAGCAAUUGGAGCGAGGCUUUCUUCUGAUGCAGCUGCUGUUCGAGCUUUGGUUGGGGAUGCACUUGGUUUGCUGGUUCAAAAUGCUGCAACAGCUGUCGGCAGUUUGGUAAUUGCUUUUGAAGCAAGCUGGCAGCUUGCCUUUAUAGUGCUUGUUUUGGCACCGCUAUUAGGACUAAAUGGAUACGUGCAAUUUAAGUUCAUGAAAGGAUUCAGCGCAGAUGCAAAGGUUUGUUUUUUACUUCCUCUAAUCUAUCAACUUAAAUUGUGAAUUAGGAAAUAUCUAUGUUUCAAUUUCAGUGGGAUUUGGACCCAUUUCUUUGUAAAAUUCAUUUGGCACGACACUGAUAAGAGUGAAAAAAUUACUGUAUGAACAUCAGAACAUGGAUCAACAGUGUGACAAGAAGCACGUGCUCUUAAUGUGCUUUUGACCUAUAUUAAUAUUCUAUUUACCUAGCAGAAACUGUAUGAGGAAGCAAGCCAAGUGGCAAAUGAUGCUGUAGGCAGUAUAAGAACAGUUGCUUCUUUCUGUGCCGAAAAGAGGGUGAUGGAAUUAUACCAGGAAAAAUGUGAAGGACCAAUUAAGACAGGCAUAAGGCGAGGGAUAAUAAGUGGAAUCAGUUACGGGGUAUCAUUCUUCUUGCUUUACGCAGUUUAUGCAUGCAGUUUUUAUGCUGGAGGUCGACUAGUAGAGGAUGGAAAAUCAACAUUCUCAGAUGUUUUCCGUGUAAGUUGCUCUCCUAACUUGUUCACUGAGUCAAAAUUUUCAGCACUUUUCUUCUUGUCAUCACAAUUUCUGCUAGGCUAUUAUUGACUGAGCUAGGAUGGUUCUGUGUACAAUGUUUCGCCUGUUUUUCUUGUACUAACGUUAUUGAUUCCUGAUUUCCAGGUCUUUUUUGCAUUCAGCAUGGCAGCUAUGGGAAUCUCUCAAUCUGGCUCUUUGGUACCUGAUUCAACUAACUCAAAAAGUGCUGCUGCUUCUGUAUUUGCUAUUCUUGAUCGAAAGUCACAAAUUGACCCAAGUGAUGACUCUGGAUUCACAUUGGAAGAAGUCAAGGGAGAGAUUGAAUUUAAAAAUGUAAUUUUCAAGUAUCCUACCAGACCUGAUGUUCAAAUAUUCAGAGAUCUUUGCUUGACUAUUCAUAGUGGGAAGGUAACUCUCUAAUUGUGCAUCUUGUCUGAUAGAGUAGGGUUAAUUGUUCUUCCUAAACUAUUAGACUGAUUGACUAUACUGAUAAAAUAAACAGACUGUUGCACUGGUUGGGGAAAGUGGAAGUGGAAAAUCAACAGUGAUCUCACUAUUGCAGAGGUUUUAUGAUCCAGACUCAGGUCACAUUACACUGGAUGGAAAAGAAAUCCAAAGGAUGCAAGUUAAAUGGCUAAGGCAACAGAUGGGUCUGGUGAGCCAAGAGCCUGUGCUGUUUAAUGACACCAUUCGUGCAAAUAUUGCAUAUGGCAAAGGCGGGAAUGCAACAGAAGCAGAAAUUAUAGCUGCAGCAGAACUGGCAAAUGCUCAUAAUUUUACUAGUAGUUUGCAGGAGGUAAAUUACGGUGUUCUAUAACUCACUUUUCUUAAGACUAGUGCAACUGGUGUAUGUUGAAAAUUUCAAUUUUGUACAAGUUUUUAAGACAACAUAGGAUGUUAUGAAGAAGGUAUGAAUUGUUGAGAGGAAUAUUUGAUGUAUGCAGGGUUAUGAAACAGUAGUAGGGGAGAGAGGGAUUCAACUAUCUGGAGGGCAGAAGCAGCGAGUGGCAAUUGCACGAGCUAUAGUGAAGAAUCCAAAAAUAUUAUUACUAGAUGAAGCCACGAGUGCACUUGAUGCUGAGUCUGAAAAGGUGGUUCAGGAUGCACUAGACCGUGUUAUGGUGAACCGAACCACAAUAGUAGUGGCUCAUAGGUUAUCCACUAUAAAGGGUGCGGAUUUAAUUGCAGUAGUUAAAAAUGGUGUGAUAGCAGAGAAGGGAAAGCAUGAAGCAUUACUCAGCAAGGAAGGUGAUUAUGCUUCCUUAGUUGCAUUGCAUACAACUGCUUCUACAUCUUAGUGCCCUGACCCUAUACAGUUCUAGACUGGUUGUGUCUCAGCAAAAUUUACUUGCUCGGCACUUUUGUGCUUCUCAAUGAUGUCACUCUUGUGGCUUCAUUUACGUGUACUAUGUUGUUUCUGGAGUUUUAUUGGUCAUCUGUAUUGUAUUUAUACGACUUUUUUACUAUGUAGAACUCUCCAACCUACGAGUUUGAUGUUAAAAAAAAAGUUGAUAUGAAAAUACUAUACUCUAAGUAGUUCCAAUUGCCCCAUAUAUUUGGUGUAUGUUAAUAUUCAAUGAGUGUUCCCUUUCGUACCUUAGUGAGUCAGCAAUCACAGACAUGGUUGAAAAGAAAUAGUUCUAAACUCUGUAGUAGGCGAACAGAAUGUUUUACAACUGAAGUUACCUUCUUUCUCAAAUAGUUAUUAAACAAACUUAUACACACUUUUUUCUCUCUCAAAUAGUGUAUAUUCUAAUUAAAUUCACAAAAGAAUGCUUUGCCGGUCCACCCGGUUUAAUAAGUAAUAAGUGACCAAGUUCGGUUUGGUUGAAAAAAAUGUGAAAAUGUACAAACUAGAGUAGUGAUCACUUGGUUCACAUUAAACUUCAUGUCAAAUAUCUCAAUAUUACAAAAUAUUGAGAGUCAAAUAUCUCAAUAUUACAAAAUAUUGAGAUAUUUGUGGUUAGCCUAAUAUGAACAUACUUGUAUUCACACUUUGAAGCUUUAAUUAUAAAUUCUUGAACUAAAAUAAUGAAUAAGAUUUAUCUAAUUUAGUUUAUUUUGACCAUAACUGUUAAUAUUGACAAGUGCUAGAUUCCAGUAAUAUUUUAUAUUAAAAUAGAGACACUUAUGGAUAUUAAUUGAUAAAAUACCUAUAAAAUAACUCCUAAUUUAUGAAUUUAAACCUUUUUACUAUUUUGUGAUUUUAAUUUGAAUAAAAACUAUUUAUUUCCAAAUAUGUGUUAAUUUUAGGAUUCUAGGGAAGAAUUGAGAGAGAAAAGGGCAAAAGAAGAAUAUAUAAAGCUAAAAAGGGAAAGCUGAAACAGAUUAGCACUCACUCAAGCUAGAAGGCCCAGAGGAUCUUGCCUAAGUGAGCCUAAUCUCACCCAAGCGAUAUCACUAAAGUGAUUGGCCUUUUUUCGUGCAACUUGCCCAGGCGAGCCAAUAAUGCCAAAGCGAGAAGUCAGUUAUCCCAAGCCCAACUAGGUUCAAUACGAGGCUUGAGGCACAACCCUAGGAAUCAUUGAGUGGAUUGGAAUCUAGUUGGGAGAAUAGAAGGUGUUAGAAACCCUAACAGAGGUAGUCGUGAAGGAGAAACAUCUUGGAUCUUCUUUUCUUGCUCACCUGCUUGUAAUAACCAACAGUGACUAAUUCUACCAUUUGGGAUUGAGAGUAAUAUGUUCAAACUCUUAUGUAUUGAGGUGAUAUUUAAAUAUAAUAUUAUGUUCUUGAUUGAUGAUCGGUAUUGCCAUUUUAUUUGUAAUGCUUGUUUCUAUGAUCUAGAUUCUUAGAUUUGACUAGAAAGUACUUCUAAGUUUCUUACCCAAAUGAUAAUUCUUAACAUGUUUGAAUAAUAAAUUUGAAAUGUUAAUUGUUAUCAGCGUCUAAUCGUAAUGAUAAUAAUUUUUUAUAAAUAUGUGAGGAAUCGAUAUUUAGGAUAGAAUAUCACCAUGCUAAUCAAAAUACAAAAGAGUAAGAAGGAUGAACCCAUCCCAAUUUUUCCAAUUGAAGCAACAAACUCUUUGACUUGUUUUCUUUUUAUUUUCAUAUUUAAUUUGAAUUUAUUUGGUAUUGUUUAUUUUCAAUUUUUUUUUUUAAAUUAUUCUUUUUAAUGCUAGUGAAACCUUGUGCUAACCUUUGAUUUAGCUGUCUUAUAUGAUAUUAAGAGGUUAAAUUCCCAAAAACCAAUUAUUAUUUGAAGCAAAGAUUGAAAGGGCAGCAAAAAGAAACAGAAAGAUAAAGACAAAAGAGAUAAGGAGACACUAGAAAGGAAUCAUCAGUGACUCCUUCUUUUCCCACUAAUAUUUUUUAGGAGGAAAUCAACAUGGGAGAAGGGCAAACACCACCCGUUAGGAAAACACUUGGAGAUUGUGCCAUGCAACAAGGGCCAAGGCAUUCUUCUAGUAUUACAGUACCUGCUACCACAAGGGCCUUAAAGAUGAAACUCGCUUUCCUUAGUCUCAUUAGUACCCAUCAAUUUACAGCAAUGGAUCAUGAGGAUCCAUAUACACAUUUGUCUACAUUUUAUGAAUUGGUGGGAACAAUGGGCUUUUAAUCAGGUGAUAUUGAAAAUUUUUAUAUGCACUUGUUUCCUUUUCAUUGGCAGGGAAGGCUAAAGAAUGACUUAAAUCAUAUCAAAAUUAGAUUCUCACUAGCUAGAAAGAUGUAGAGGAAAAAUUUAUGCAAAGAUUUUUUCCAAUAUCUCGCUACAUCAAAGCAAAGUAUGAUAUUUCUAUGUUCAUACAAGGAGCAUAUGAAGCCUUUUGUGAGACAUGGGAGAGAUUCAAAAUGAUGCUGGGAAAAUAUCCAAAUCAUGGGUCUGAAGACAUUGCUCAACUGAGCAUUUUCCAUAAUGAUCUCAGAUCUAUACUAAGAUGAUCCUAGAUGUUGUAGCUGGUGGCACAAUGAUGGUUGUUGAUGUGGAACAAGCGACAAAAAUUAUUGAUGCAUUGACAUCAAAUGAUUAUCAAGCCCAACAUGAUAGGUAAGGUAUUCAAAAGAAAGGGUUGUUAGAGUUGAAUACUUCAGAUGCACUCUUGGCUCAGAAUAAAAUUUUGUCACAAAAGAUUGAGACAUUAACUGCACAAAUAGCUAAAUUGCCCUAACAAUUACAAGCCAAAGACGUGCAAUCUUCUCGGAGCCAGAGUCAACCAAUCAAGUAUGAUUUUUUGGAGGUGAUCAUCCCAAUGGUCAUUGUUCUUAUCAAAAUAAUUCAUCUAAAGUAGAAGUAAAUUACAUGAGUACUCAGGGAAUGCAAGGUGGUUUCUCCAACAACAUUAAUUAUCCUAAAGGUUGGAGAAACAAUCAGAAUAAAAAAUUUGGGUGGAAUCAAGAUAGUGGUCCAUCCAAUAAGCAAUGUCCUUUUCAACAACAACAACAACUCCUAUAUCUCUCAGUUCCUGAAAUAUUGAAUAAAUUUGAAGAUGCCUUGGAGAAAUUCAUGAAAGCUACCAUGACCAGUCAAGAGAAUAAUAUAACAACAAUUAGAAAUAUAGAAACUCAGGUGGGACAAAUUUGCAAACAAUUAGUAGAUGAACAAAGUGGCCAGUUUUCUGCCAACACCAAAACCAACCCAAAAGAGCAUUGCAAUACAAUGGCCUCUGAAAGUGGUAGAAUAGUAGAGAAAGGAAUGAUAAUAAUGUAGUGGCUAAAAAAGAAAGGAAAAAUGAGACUGAGGGGGAGAGAUAUGAGAAAGAAAGAGAGAAGAAAAGGAUUGACGAAGAAAAGAUAGAGGAAAAAAAGUGAAAAAAAUGAGAGAAGUGUUUUUGAAAAAGAUUUAUCAUAUCUUCAUGCUCCUUCAAAAAAAGAGAAGGAGAGAAUUUUUUUUGAUAAUUUGCUCCCUACAAAUUAUUUUGCAGAAAAUUUGAAGCAAAAUUCAACAUUUGAGAGAUUUAUGAAGAAUAUGAGUUAUAUUGAAGAGAGAAAUAUGGAGUUGGAGGCUAGAUGCAAUGCCAUUAUUCAUAAAAGGCUUGCCUAAAAAAUCCAAGGACCUAGGAAGUUUUAAUCUUCAUGUGUCUAUAGGUGCUUUAUUUGUGGACAACGCCUUACUGGAUUUGGGGGCAAGCAUAAAUCUAAUUCCUUUGGCAAUGCUGAAGAAAAUAGAUGAUUUGAAGAUUAAACCUACCAAGAUGACAUUACAGUUAGCUGAUUGAGUAACCAAGUAUCCAUAUGGUGUGGUUGAAGAUGUUCUCGUUAAGGUGGAUAAAUUCAUAUUUCCUGUGGAUUUUGUUGUGAUGGACAUGGAAGAAGACGAGAAGGUCCUUGAUUCUUGGCAGACAUUUCAUGAAGAUUGCUAAAAUUAUAAUUGAUGUUGAUAAGGGAAAACUUAAAGUAAGAACUCAAGAUGUUGAGGUAACUUUUAAUCUUUAUUAUGAUUUAAAAAAUUCUAAUGCAGGGAAGGAAUGUGUGUGUGAGUUAUGGGUAGUUUGAAUUUGUAAAUCCACUCUUAGUUAGGAUCCGAAGUUGGAUUAAAUCAAAUCCUUUUGAAAAAGAGUUUUUUACAAAGAAGUCGAAAAACAACCAGUUGUUUUAUCAUUUCAAUAAGUUGUUUUACACUUAGUGUUUUUGAAACAGGUUUUGACAAAGCUUGAAAUUGGUUGACCUUGCUGUCAAACCAAUUUAAUCGGUUGUUUCGAUGUUUCAACCAAUUAUUUUUUGAAAAUCCUUAACAAAAUUUGUUAAGUUUGGUAAAUCUGUUUUAAUUGAUUCAAAACUAGUUUGGCUUUUGCAUUAAAUGUUUUUAAUAGCCAUUUGCAGUUUAAACAAUUUGUUUUACGCUCCUGGUAGUUAAGAUAUCAGAUUAACAUCUUUCAAAUCAGUUUUCUCCAAGAUUGGCUUCAAGCUUUGAAUUUUGCUAAGAGUGGAAUAAGACUGCUUUGUAACUUUUGAAUUCAAUCUGUAUUAGGUGUGAUCAAUCAUUUUUCUCUCUUGAAUACUAAUUCUGUAAACGUGUUGUGUGCAGAUCUAGAGGGUGUUCUGUGAUCUGUAAUUUUUUGCUUUUCAAAGGAGGUGUGUGUUCUUGAAGGCUUCAAGGUCACCUCUUUGAUGUGUGGUUUGUAAUCAAGGUCGUCGAUUACUUAGUGGAAUACUCAGUGAUUUUUGGGGACUGGAUGUAGCUCUUGGUAUAAGAGUGAACCAAUAUAAAUUUUCUGUGUGAUUCUUUCUAUCAUUAAUCUCAUUUAGAUAUGUUUUGACUUGUUUUUCUUAACUGCUGAUAAAAACAACCGGUUGAAUCGCAUAAACAAUCGGUUGAAUUUUUGGAAACAUAAUAAAACAAAUAUGUUUCUUGGCUAACUUGAUUUCUUUCUCUUUGAUUCUUCACUGGCUUUCUCUAUAUCUUCAAAGUUUACAAAAAUCUUUUAAAAACAAUUCACCCCCUCUUGUUUAAGGCCUACAAUUCUAACAUUGAUAACAAUUAACAUUUCAAAUCUACUCCUAACAUUCAAAUAUGUUAAGCAUUAUCAUUUAGGUCAGAAACUUAAAAGUACUUUCCAAUCAAAUCUAAAUUUCGAGAUCAAGGCGAACAAGCAUUACUAACAAAAAGUUAAUACCAAUCAUCAAUCAAGAACAAAAUAUUAUGUUUAGAUAUCACCUCAAUACAUAAGAGUUUGAACAUAUUACUCUCAAUUCCAAAGGAUAGAAUUAGUCACACAAGAUGGUUGUUAUAAAAAGGGAGAGUAAAAGAUUAUGGAUGUUUCUCCUUGACGGCUACCUCCUAUAGGGUUUCUAACACCUCCUAUUCUCUCAAUUGGAUUAUAAUUUCACUCAAUGGCGUCCAAGGUUCACAUGCUGAGCUCACCAAAGAUCCUAACGGAGCCUAUAGCCAGCUGAUUAGAUUGCAAGAAAUUAAAGGAUCAGAACAAAAUGGUGAAAAUGACAGAGAGAAGCUAGAAAGUAUAGUGCACUCAGUGCACUCUGGAAGACAAUCAAGUCAAAGAUCUUUCUUAGGAUCUAUAAGCCAAAGAUCAUCAGGACUUGUUGGUCAUAACUCAUUCUCAGCAUCACAUGGAGUGCCAGUAUCAGUUGGCUUCUUGGAACCUGCAAGAGGAGAACCUCAAACACCUCCUCCUUCAACUUCACCACCGGAAGUGCCACUCUCUCGCCUGGCAUAUUUAAACAAGCCAGAGAUUCUAGUCUUACUUGCAGGGACUCUAGCUGCAGUAGUAAGUGGAUUAUUAUUACCCAUUAGUGCACUCUUCGUUUCCAAAAUGAUAAGUAUUUUCUAUGAGCCACAUGAUGAACUUCGUAAAGAUUCAAAGCGUUGGGCAUUACUAUUUGUUGCACUUGGUGUGGUAUCAUUUAUUACAGCUCCUUGUAGAUUCUACCUUUUUGGUGUUGCUGGCGGUAAGUUGAUAAAAAGGAUUCGGAAAAUGUGUUUUGAGAAAGUUGUUCACAUGGAAGUUAGCUGGUUCGAUGAAGCGGAGCAUUCAAGUGGAGC
rnacentral:lncRNA from 1 species